rnacentral:rRNA from 1 species
CCUACGGGAGGCUGCAGUGAGGAAUAUUUGUCAAUGGACGCAAGUCUGAACCAGCCAUGCCGCGUGCAGGAAGACGGCUCUAUGAGUUGUAAACUGCUUUUGUACGAGGGUAAACGCAGAUACGCGUACCUGUCUGAAAGGAUCGUACGAAUAAGGAUCGCCGAACUCCGGUCCAGCAGACGCGGUAAUACGGAGGAUUCAAGCGUUAUCCGGAUUUAUUGGGUUUAAAGUGUGCGUAGGCGGUAGGAUAAGUUAGAGGUGAAAGCCCGGGGCUCAACUUCGGAAUUGCAUAUGAUACUGUUCGGCUAGAGAGUAGUAGCGGUAGGAGGAAUGUAUGGUGUAGCGGUGAAAUGCGUAGAGAUC